rnacentral:rRNA from 1 species
GACGAACCGUACGAACGUUAUUCGGAAUCACUGGGCUUAAAGGGUGCGUAGGCUGCGCGGAAAGUUGGGUGUGAAAUCCCUCGGCUCAACCGAGGAACUGCGCCCAAAACUGCCGUGCUCGAGGGAGACAGAGGUGAGCGGAACUUAGGGUGGAGCGGUGAAAUGCGUUGAUAUCCUAAGGAACACCGGUGGCGAAAGCGGCUCACUGGGUCUCUUCUGACGCUGAGGCACGAAAGCCAGGGGAGCAAACGGG